rnacentral:rRNA from 1 species
GACGAACGCUGGCGGCGUGCCUAACACAUGGCAAGUCGAACGGAGCAGAUCCCUUCGGGGGUUUACUUAGUGGCGGACGGGUGAGUAACGCGUGAGCAACCUGCCUUUCAGAGGGGGACAACAGUUGGAAACGACUGCUAAUACCGCAUAAUGUACAGAGGGGGCAUCCCUUUUGUAUCAAAGGAGAAAUCCGCUGAAAGAUGGUCUCGCGUCUGAUUAGCUAGUUGGUGAGGUAACGGCUCACCAAGGCGACGAUCAGUAGCCGGUCUGAGAGGAUGAACGGCCACAUUGGGACUGAGAUACGGCCCAG